GACGAACGCUGGCGGCGUGCUUAACACAUGCAAGUCGAACGAAAAGAGGGAAAGAGCUUGCUCUUUCCGGAAUUGAGUGGCAAACGGGUGAGUAACACGUAAACAACCUGCCUUCAGGAUGGGGACAACAGACGGAAACGACUGCUAAUACCGAAUAAGUUCCAAGGGCCGCAUGGCCCAUGGAAGAAAAGGUGGCCUCUACCUGUAAGCUAUCGCCUGAAGAGGGGUUUGCGUCUGAUUAGCUGGUUGGAGGGGGUAACGGCCCACCAAGGCGACGAUCAGUAGCCGGUCUGAGAGGAUGAACGGCCACACUGGAAUUGAGACACGGUCCAGACUCCUACGGGAGGCAGCAGUGGGGAAUCUUCCGCAAUGGGCGAAAGCCUGACGGAGCAACGCCGCGUGAGUGAUGACGGCCUUCGGGUUGUAAAACUCUGUGAUCCGGGACGAAAAGGCAGAGUGCGAAGAACAAACUGCAUUGACGGUACCGGAAAAGCAAGCCACGGCUAACUACGUG
rnacentral:rRNA from 1 species